GAAAUGCGAUAAGCAAUGCGAAUUGCAGAACCUUGAGUCAUAAGAUUUUUGAACGCAAUUGGCGCCGGCUGGCUUUCUAGUCUCCAUGCUUGUUUCAGUGUCUUAUUCUCUUCUCAUCCACAUCUUAAUGCGAGAAAUGCCCUUCUCUGGCCAAGUAUGAAAUCAUUCUGCGCUCUGCGAGCAGCUUCGACUUCGGUAAUUAGUCGCACUCAAUGCAGCCGUUACACAUUGCUCACAAUGUAAACUCAUUGAGAAAUGAGGCAGUGUAGCAUAGCUUUCAGUGCUAAGACACACAAACUUUAUGUCUAUCCGAAAUCAAGCAGGACCACCCGCUGAACUUAA
rnacentral:misc_RNA from 1 species